GAGCACGACUCACGUCGUGUGUUACUCCGCGGAUGGUUUAGCAACUUCAGCUGAAUUGUGAUUUGUGAAGAAGAGAACUACUUUCUGUGGCGUUCUUUGCAAUAGGACAAUACGAGAACUAGAAAACGAGCAUAUUCGGUGGAGAUGAGUUGUGAUCGGGAGGAAUCUUCAUGGUGACCCAAGACAGAUGGAGAAGAAAGAGAAAAGUGAACGACUCUGAUCAGAGAAGAUGUCCCUGGGGCUGGUCCAUCUCUCUCCCUCACUGUGGAUGACUCAUCUGGGAGCAGCUUGGCAGUCUGCAAAUCACUGCACUCUGUAACCCUUUCUUCACUGGGCAGUCUGCAAAUCACUGCACAGUAGUGUGAGGAUGAGGAUCUACUGACAAAGUGAAGAGCGUAUGAUGUCCGGGUGUCAGACUCUGCAGAGAAGAUGGAGCUGGAAGAAAUCCUGACGUCUGGACCAGAUGGAGAAGAAAAGAAAAGACAACAGAGAAGACGUCACUCAGGCAUUACUUACAUCUAUCUCCUGGAAAACCUGUGUCUUGAUAGGGUCCAUGCUCUGGUCAGACCACUUCCCUAUUUAUCUAUCAUCUGUAGGAGACUGAAAUUGAUCUUCAUUUAAUUAGUCUGGUGGAGGAGGAAGGAGUAGAAUAAGUUUCUGGUCCUAUUUUGCCCAAAGGUACAUGGCAGAGCGAGACUCCCUGACCCUAAAAUGUACUAUACUGGCUUUGUCCUUCUCUGGGUGUUCGACUGGCACUUCCAUUUGAAGACAAAACAGUGGAAUUGGAAACCUUUCUGGCCCACCCUCAUCUCAAAUAUUUUUUUUGGCUUCCAGCCACUGGUAGACCCACUAGUCUUAAUCACUCCAUUUUCUCUUCUGGAUGCCUAGAUACCUUGGAUGUGGUUGUAUUUAAGGGUACAUUCUCCAUGAGGAAUUGUCCUUUUUCUCCUCCUCUUUUCUGCAAUCCAACUUUUCUUCCUGGGCUGACAAUGCACAGGUUUAUGUGUUGGAGCCAGUGGGAAUACUAGAUUUUAUCAAAUAUUAAAG